rnacentral:rRNA from 1 species
UACGGGGGGGGCAAGCGUUGUUCGGAAUUACUGGGCGUAAAGGGCUCGUAGGUGGCCAACUAAGUCAGACGUGAAAUCCCUCGGCUUAACCGGGGAACUGCGUCUGAUACUGGAUGGCUUGAGUUCGGGAGAGGGAUGCGGAAUUCCAGGUGUAGCGGUGAAAUGCGUUGAUAUCAGGAGGAACACCGGUGGCGAAGGCGGGUCUCUGGGCCGAUACUGACGCUGAGGAGCGAAAGCGUGGGGAGCGAACAGG